AGCAAGUGUUCCUGCUAGGUUAGUGCUUGUGGCAUCUGCGCUUGUCACACUGAUUCAUUUACCUUGGAGAUGAAAUGAAGCAGAAUUGCACAUUUUUAUUGGCAGGGCGGAGAGCUGUGAUUCUCAGCUCUAUUUCUUUUUGUUUCUCAGAGCCCUCUUCCUCGUUGCUUAAUUCUAUUAAUCUCAGGACAGAGGACAACUCAUGGAUGGUGGUGAAUUCACUUACAGAAGUUAGGCCUCUCCAUAAAUUUGGAACACACCAUUCCAGGUAUAACUAUAUCAUAGCCUAUCUGAAUGAGAAUACAUUGUAGGCAGUAUUCCACAAAACACUCCUCAGAAUCCACUUAUUUGUUGAGGUCUUUUGAAAGCAAGCAGAGUUGUACAGCUAGGACUAUCAGCUGUGCAAUUUCUGGUACAAAAGGAGAAGUAUAAUGGGAGCUGUUGUUUUAGUAGCACCUCAUCACUUGCUAAUUCCAACAUUUUCAAAAGCAUGCUACCAGCAUGAAUUCAUCUGAGUUCGAACUUGAUGUCAUUUAUAUAUAUAUAUAUAUAUGUUUUUUUUUUUUUUUGUUUUUGUUUUUUUGAGGCUAGCAAUAGCUUUGUGUUAGAUAACAUAUGGGGUCAGUACAAGAACAUCUUACUGAAUGGAUGAGACGAUGUAAGAACAUCCGAUACUUGAAAUCAGGUUCAAAGAUUUUGUGUAGUCCAACAGUUGACUGUAAAAUGGGUGCUGGCUUUAAUAUAAUUACGAUGUUAAUAUACUAAAUAUUAAGCUGUGAGCAUUUUUGGAAUUGCU
rnacentral:lncRNA from 1 species